rnacentral:rRNA from 1 species
UACAGAGGUCUCAAGCGUUGUUCGGAUUCAUUGGGCGUAAAGGGCGCGUAGGCGGGUGCUCAAGUCCGGGGUGAAAUCCCACAGCUCAACUGUGGAACUGCCUCGGAUACUGGGCGUCUCGAGGGUGGCAGGGGUAUGCGGAACUAUCGGUGGAGCGGUGAAAUGCGUUGAUAUCGAUAGGAACUCCGGUGGCGAAGGCGGCAUACUGGUCCACUUCUGACGCUGAGGCGCGAAAGCCAGGGGAGCAAACGGG